rnacentral:ncRNA from 3 species
GGUGGAGCGAUUUGUCUGG